rnacentral:rRNA from 1 species
GUAGGUGGCAAGCGUUGUCCGGAAUUAUUGGGCGUAAAGCGCGCGCAGGUGGUUCUUUAAGUCUGAUGUGAAAGCCCCCGGCUCAACCGGGGAGGGUCAUUGGAAACUGGGGAACUUGAGUGCAGGAGAGGAAAGUGGAAUUCCACGUGUAGCGGUGAAAUGCGUAGACAUGUGGAGGAACACCAGUGGCGAAGGCGACUUUCUGGCCUGUAACUGACACUGAGGCGCGAAAGCGUGGGGAGCAAACAGGGAUUAGAUACCCUGGUAGUCCACGCCGUAAACGAUGAGUGCUAAGUGUUGGGGGGGUUUCCCGCCCCUCAGUGCUGCAGCUAACGCAUUAAGCACUCCGCCUGGGGAGUACGGUCGCAAGACUG